GUCUUUUUGUAAAUAAUUUAAAGUGUAAUCUGCCCACUGAUAAAAUUAAAGGGCUGCAGUAAAUUGACUGUACAAAGGUAGCAUAAUAAUUAGUCUUUUAAUUGAAGACUUGUAUGAAUGAUUUGAUGAGAUAUAUACUGUCUCUUUUAUAAAAUUAGAAUUUAAUUUUUUAGUAAAAAAGCUAAAAUUUUUUUAAAAGACGAGAAGACCCUAUAGAGUUUUAUAUUUAAUUUAAUUAUAAUUUAUUAUAAAAAUUAAAAUAAAAAUUAAAUUAAAUAUUUUAUUGGGGUGAUAGGGAAAUAAAUAAAACUUUUUUUUUAUUAUAUAUAUAUAUAUAUAUAUAAACAUUAAUUAAUGAGUUAAUGAUCCAUAAUUUAUGAUUAAAAGAAAAAAUUACCUUAGGGAUAACAGCGUAAUUUUUUUUUUUAGUACAAAUAAAAAAAAAAGUUUGCGACCUCGAUGUUGGAUUAAGAUAAAAUUUAAAUGUAAAAUUUUAAAAUUUUUGAUCUGUUCGAUCAUAAAAAUCUUACA
rnacentral:rRNA from 1 species